rnacentral:rRNA from 1 species
CCUACGGGAGGCAGCAGUGAGGAAUAUUGGUCAAUGGGCGUAAGCCUGAACCAGCCAAGUCGCGUGAGGGAUGAAGGUUCUAUGGAUCGUAAACCUCUUCUAUAAGGGAAUAAAGUGCGGGACGUGUCCCGUUUUGUAUGUACCUUAUGAAUAAGGAUCGGCUAACUCCGUGCCAGCAGCCGCGGUAAUACGGAGGAUCCGAGCGUUAUCCGGAUUUAUUGGGUUUAAAGGGUGCGUAGGCGGCCUUUUAAGUCAGCGGUGAAAGUCUGUGGCUCAACCAUAGAAUUGCCGUUGAAACUGGGAGGCUUGAGUAUGUGUGAGGCAGGCGGAAUGCGUGGUGUAGCGGUGAAAUGCUUAGAUAUCACGCAGAACCCCGAUUGCGAAGGCAGCCUGCCAAGCCAUGACUGACGCUGAGGCACGAAAGCGUGGGGAGCAAACAGGAUUAGAUACCCCGGUAGUC